AUUGAACGCUGGCGGCAUGCCUUACACAUGCAAGUCGAACGGUAACGCGGGGCAACCUGGCGACGAGUGGCGAACGGGUGAGUAAUGUAUCGGAACGUGCCCAGUUGUGGGGGAUAACUGCUCGAAAGAGCAGCUAAUACCGCAUACGACCUGAGGGUGAAAGCGGGGGGUCGCAAGACCUCGCGCAAUUGGAGCGGCCGAUAUCAGAUUAGGUAGUUGGUGGGGUAAAGGCCCACCAAGCCAACGAUCUGUAGCUGGUCUGAGAGGACGACCAGCCACACUGGGACUGAGACACGGCCCAGACUCCUACGGGAGGCAGCAGUGGGGAAUUUUGGACAAUGGACGCAAGUCUGAUCCAGCCAUGCCGCGUGCGGGAAGAAGGCCUUCGGGUUGUAAACCGCUUUUGUCAGGGAAGAAACGCUCUGGGUUAAUACCUCGGGGUAAUGACGGUACCUGAAGAAUAAGCACCGGCUAACUACGUGCCAGCCGCCGCCGUAACAC
rnacentral:rRNA from 1 species